rnacentral:rRNA from 2 species
ACGGGUGAGUAACACGUGGGCAACCUGCCCUGCACUCUGGGAUAAGCCCGGGAAACUGGGUCUAAUACCGGAUACGACUUCCCACCGCAUGGUGGGGGGUGGAAAGUUCCGGCGGUGCAGGAUGGGCCCGCGGCCUAUCAGCUUGUUGGUGGGGUAAUGGCCUACCAAGGCGACGACGGGUAGCCGGCCUGAGAGGGCGACCGGCCACACUGGGACUGAGACACGGCCCAGACUCCUACGGGAGGCAGCAGUGGGGAAUAUUGCGCAAUGGGCGAAAGCCUGACGCAGCGACGCCGCGUGAGGGAUGACGGCCUUCGGGUUGUAAACCUCUUUCAGCAGGGAAGAAGCGAAAGUGACGGUACCUGCAGAAGAAGCACCGGCUAACUACGUGCCAGCAGCCGCGGUAAUACGUAGGGUGCGAGCGUUGUCCGGAAUUAUUGGGCGUAAAGAGCUCGUAGGCGGCUUGUCACGUCGGAUGUGAAAACCCGGGGCUCAACCCCGGGCCUGCAUUCGAUACGGGCAGGCUAGAGUUCGGCAGGGGAGACUGGAAUUCCUGGUGUAGCGGUGAAAUGCGCAGA